CUUAUAGCUUGAAGAGUUAUUCCUAGCUUGGCGAUGAUUAAACUUAGUUUCAUAUUCACUAUUCUUUUCAUGAUAGCCACUAUUAAUACGUCUUGGUUUUCGAAGAAGCAAGUUAUAGCUACAUCAGAUGUUGAUCAUAUGCUCUUAGGACUCAAUAGGAGAGUGCUCCCACAGCUUAAUACUUGUUUUAGAGCCUGUGCUUCCGACAGUGAUUGCAGUGAUUGUUGGAUUUGUUGUAAAUGUGCGCGCGCAGUCUCAUACGCGUAUGCGGAAGAAUUGGUGUUGUGCAUUUAGUGUCUAGUGAUACCAACUAUUAUGCAUUAGUGUGUCUUCGUGUAAUUUCAGUGGUUGUUAGUCUUUUCUUAUUUACUUGUCUUUUAUACUUUGAAUAAUAAUAUUAAUAAUUGGAUUUGCUA